rnacentral:piRNA from 1 species
UGCACUACUUGACGCGACACUUGGGAC